CGUAGGUGGCAAGCGUUGUCCGGAUUUAUUGGGUUUAAAGGGUGCGUAGGCGGCUAUCUAAGUCAGUGGUGAAAUAUCUCAGCUUAACUGAGAGGGUGCCAUUGAUACUGGAUAGCUUGAGUACAGAUGAGGUAGGCGGAAUUGACGGUGUAGCGGUGAAAUGCAUAGAUAUCGUCAAGAACACCGAUAGCGAAGGCAGCUUACCAAGCUGUAACUGACGCUGAGGCACGAAAGUGGUGGGGAUCAAACAGGAUUAGAUACCCUGGUAGUCCACACUGUAAACGUUGAUGACUCGAUGUUGGCGAUACACAGCCAGCGUCCAAGAGCAAUUCGUUAAGUCAUCCACCUGGGGAGUACGCCGGCAACGGUG
rnacentral:rRNA from 1 species